rnacentral:tRNA from 1 species
GGCAAGAUGGCCGAGUUGGUCCAAGGCGUCAGGUUAAGGUCCACCUUAAUAAUUCAGCGUUACAGCUUCCUGAUCAUCGUUUGAUGGCGUGGGUUCGAAUCCCACUCUUGUCA